UACGAAGAGGGCUAGCGUUGCUCGGAAUCACUGGGCGUAAAGGGUGCGUAGGCGGGUUAUUAAGUCAGAGGUGAAAUCCUGGAGCUCAACUCCAGAACUGCCUUUGAUACUGAUAGUCUUGAGUAUGGGAGAGGUGAGUGGAACUGCGAGUGUAGAGGUGAAAUUCGUAGAUAUUCGCAAGAACACCAGUGGCGAAGGCGGCUCACUGGCCCAUUACUGACGCUGAGGCACGAAAGCGUGGGGAGCAAACAGG
rnacentral:rRNA from 1 species